GUCCCAGUAGCUCAGCUGGAUAGAGCAACAGCCUUCUAAGCUGUGGGUCAGGGGUUCGAAUCCCUUCUGGGACGC
rnacentral:tRNA from 1 species